ensembl:lncRNA
UGCAGGUUUGGUGCCCUCUGGUCGCACUUGGUAACAGUGCGAGGCUAUUUCAGCUCUGUGUUAGAUCUUAAAUGACCGCCCUCAUUUUACAAUACAACUUUAUUUAUCCCACUAGGGGCAAUUAGUUUGAGCAGCUUGCAUACAGACACAGUAACAUACAAACAACAAAUACACAUACACAACUACGGAGCGUUUAGUAGUCUUUAGUAGAAUUGCAGAGGGGUUGAACGACUUGGAUUGGCGGUUUGUUCUGCGAGCAGGUGAAGCGUAGCGACGCCCUGAUGGCAACACGGAGAAUUCACUUUUAAGAGCACGACCAGAAGAAGCCAACAUACCUGCUGCUUUCUUAAUGAUUUGCCGAUUGCAGAAAGAAUUCAAGUCCCUUUGUUUAACUCCGGUGAUCUUAGAAUAGAUGUUGACAAUGCUGUUCAGGCUGUUUGUCUUUUACUGUCAGGCUGUGAAACCAGCAGUUAAAGAAAAGCUCAGGAGACUCUCAAUAAAAGAUUGAUAAAAACGACAGAGGAUGACAGGACUUACAGAAAAGGAAUUUAGUUUGCGGAGAAGGUGAAUUCUCUGUUGCCCUCGCUUCACAAUAGCCUCAGUGUUUACAUCAAACUUAAGUGAGCGGAUGUGGACAGCAGAGGGCGAUGUUACCACACAAGAACAUCUGCUCUCUGAGCGCUCUGCGAGAUACCGUCUCCAUUGCAACCGUAACUUGGCAGCAUCCUGAACGGCCCUUUGAGGAGUGAGAAGGAAGCUUUCAUCAAAGAGACCAGAGAGACUCGUUCACUGGUUGAACUGGAGUCAUCGCCCACCACACACAUUCACACACAAUAUAGAUACAAACCAUAUAUAUACGCACACACCAUAGGUACACACCAAAGAUUAACUUAAAACACACACACACACACACACACACACACACACACACACACACACACACACACACACACACACACACACACACACACACACACCUAAUCAUUUUCUCCUCUCCUUCCUCCGUCUCUCUUCCACGUAUAUCGCAUUUUUAUUGCCUCUACUCAAGAGAAUAGAUUUGGAUGGGGAUUUCUAGGUUUCAUAAACAGAGGGAAAAUGAAAAUGCUGUGCGGCAAAUUCAUCUGUAUGCUUUAUUGUGCAUGCAAACUUUUUCAUAAUGC